CAACCACCACCCCAACUACAAGUACCGCCACAACUACAACCACUACCCCAACUAGAACUACAACCACCACCCCAACUACAAGUACCGCCACAACUACAAGUACCGCCACAACUAUAAGCUCUGCAGCUACAACUGUUACAUCAACUGCAACAACUGCCUCUACAACCAAAAGUGAUGCUUGUUCUAUCAGACUGGGAAUGUUCCAUCUGCUGCUUGGACUCCUUCUCUUUACCUUUUAUUAAAGUCCCGAAUAACAAAAAAAACAAACAAAAGAACAUAUGAUGUUUUAACAAGACUCAAAAACCUUUUGGAUAUUCACCUUGUGUUUACAAACCACUGUUAAAGUAUAGUCAAUGAAAAAAGGUGAUAGAGUCUUGUUGAAGCUGACUUGGAAUAAGUAUGUAAGACUUCUUUGUAUGUUGUCAUGAUGGACAAUUAUGUCCAUUAUGUCCAAAAUAAUAUAAUAAUAUAAUAAUUAUUUAUAAUGGAUAAUACAACUGAAUCCUUAUAACAACAACAAAGCAUGCUUUGGAAAUAGAAGAAAGAAGGAGAAUUUCUAUUUCUUAUUUAUUCAUUUAUUUUGCUUUGUGCUUUUUAUUUUCUGCAUUUCUCUCUGUAUAUUUCUAGUGAUCAAUGGUGAAUCUGCAAGGGUGGCAUGUGCCCACCUAAAAUUAAUCUCUUGCCAUCCUUAGUGGAACCCAAGUUUUGCAUAUGACAGUGUUUUUAAUUAAAAUAAGCUAGCAUUAACACUUUGAGCCUAGCUACAGUUAACAUUGACAGAGUGAGCAAUACAGUAAGUUUGCACCUCCUCUUGUCAGACCUGCAGGGUUUAAGCUUGUGGUGUUCACCUCUGUCUUAUGGCAGACAAACUAUUUUUUUGCACUGGCACAAAUAAUUUGUGUGCUAUCUUACUGUGACACCUGAUUGUUGUCUAAUUUUUGUUUUAGUAGUUUUAAAUAGAGUUACAAAAAAACUUCAGAUGCAUUGCCUGCAUUUUUCGGUAAAUAGUUGUAUAGAACUUUAUUGUUUACAAAAUGUGGGUGUAGGUCUUUAGAAUUUAGGAAAUUUCUGUAGAUCUGCCCCUGCUGAUGAUAAAGAUACAAUAAAGCCCUUGUCCUAUA